rnacentral:lncRNA from 1 species
UUGCCUUUGCACAAGACCCAGAUGGUUACAUGUUUGAGCUUAUCCAGAGGGGUCCGACGCCUGAGCCUCUCUGUCAAGUUAUGCUUCGUGUUGGUGACCUUGAUCGGGCUAUCAUGUUCUACGAGAAGGUAUUGUAUUGUAAAAUGGGAGGUUGUUUGAAAUGUUGGAGACAAUAUCCUUUCUGUAUAUUCUCUAGAACAAUAGUUAUAUGUGGGAUAUUCUAACAUUUGACUUUUAUGCAGGCCCUUGGGAUGAAGCUUCUGAGGAAGAAGGAUGUGCCUCAGUAUAAGGUACAUCACAUGACAAUUGUGUUUUCAUGCCAUUUGUCCUCUAAAUUUUGAUAUACUGAGCAUGUUUAUGAUUUGUGCAGUACACUAUUGCCAUGAUGGGCUAUGCUGAGGAGGACAAGACCACUGUUCUGGAGUUGACAUACAACUAUGGUGUCACGGAAUAUAACAAGGGCAAUGCAUAUGCUCAGGUAUUGACAAGUUUUCUUCUGCGCUUAUUUCCUCUUUUAAGUUUUGGCAUUUCUUAAUGCUUGUGUUGCCUAACUGCAGGUUGCUAUUGGCACUGACGAUGUGUACAAGAGCGCCGAAGCAGUUGAGCUGGUUACCAAAGAACUAGGUGGGAAGAUUCUAAGGCAGCCAGGGCCACUGCCAGGGCUGAACACCAAAAUCACCUCUUUCCUUGACCCAGAUGGCUGGAAAGUGGUAUGUUUUCUGGAUGUCUUAUGCAUAACACUGCUUUAUUUGAAUCGAAGGGGUCAUUAACAGUUAAUGAUGAAUGCAAGAUGAGCUUGCUGUAGUCAAUGCUUGGUUUAUAAAAUCUGAAGAGCGUACUGUAGUCAACGUAAUUAUUGCCAGUUAGUACAUAUUCCGCCCGUCUCUGAGAAGAAGGCCUAUAAAUUUGAAAUUUCGUCUGAAGCCAAAACGUACAUUGUCUGACCAUGUUUCUAAGAAAAACUAUCAACAACUACAAUUCUUAAUAAAAUAUAUACUAUGCAAAUAUAUUUUACUGUGUAUCUAAUAAAUAUACUGAGUAUUAACUUGGUACUGUGGACUGUGGUUCUUCAUAGUUUUAACUACGAACUUGGUCAGACUUUGCACCGCUUGACUUCAGGGAAAAAAGUUUAUAGGCCUUCUUUUCAGAGACGGAGGGAGUACAUAGUUUCGAAGUCUACUAAUUUAUUGGCACCUUCAAGGCCAAGCUGUUACUCUGUAAAAUAGAAACUUGGAAAACAGCAUCAUCUUAAGUUGGUUUAUAUUGAUAGUCCGAGCUGUAUUUCCUCUAGUUGUGUCUCUCACUGUCAUCCAUUGUCUAGAUAAUGGAAGAUAAACUUUACUCCCUCCAUCCCAUAAUAUAAGAGCGUUCUUGACACUAACUACACUAGUGUGGAGAACCCUCUUAUAUUAGGGGACGGAGGUAGUAGUAGAUUUGAGGCGUCACCCACUUAAUUAGCAGAAAGCAUCCUAAGCGUCACAAAGCAAAUUAAUAAAGUGAGAUGGAACUUCACCUUAAAAUUCGCUGCAGCAUGGUUGUCAAUACUGAACAUGAUUCCUUAAAGGUAGUAUGUGAACUGGCUUGCACGCAUGAUUGAUUACAAACUGAUGUAGUGAUUGCUAACCAAUUAUCCUUGGCCACAAUAUCAGUAUGUGACUAAUGUUAUUCCUCCGGUUGCAGGUUCUGGUGGAUCAUGCGGACUUCCUCAAGGAACUCCACUGAAGACGAGCAGGCUCAAAUUGUGUCGCGAGGAGGCAAACCUUAUGUUAGCAAUGGUCUGUGUGAUUGUAAUAAAACAAACCUUGUGUAGUAGCAAUGGUCUGUGUGUGAUGAUGUAAUAAAAGGGCAGCCUCUUCCGCUCGACGAACAUGCGGUGAUUGACCUAGCGUUAUCAAGUUGCUUGCAGUUUGAUUGUCACCACAAAGGUGAUUGUUAGUUCUUGAUAAACAUGAACUGGGGACUAGAUUGUGAGAGGUGAUUAGUAUAGUGCGGGAAAAGGAGGAAGAUGCACACCUACAGCGUAUACUAUACCCGAUUUCUACAGAGAGAAAGAAAAGAUCACCCUG